rnacentral:rRNA from 1 species
GAUGAACGCUGGCGGCGUGCCUAAUACAUGCAAGUCGAGCGAACAGACGAUGAGCUUGCUCCUCUGACGUUAGCGGCGGACGGGUGUGUAACACGUGGAUCCCCUCCCUAUAAGACUGGGAUCUCUUCGGGAAACCGGAGCUAAUACCGUAUAAUAUCUUGCUCCGCAUUGUUCAAUAGUGAAAGUCGGUGUUGCUGUAACUUCUAGAUGGAUCCGCGCCGCAUUGGCUAGUUGGUACGGUUACGGCCUACCAAGGCAACGAGGCGCAGCCGACCGGAGGGGGUGGUCGGCCGCACGGGAACGGAGACACCGACAAGAGUACUACGGGAGGCAGCAGUAGGGAAUCGUCCGCAAUGGGCGGAAGCCUGGCGGAGCGACGGCGCGUGAGUGAUGAAGGUCUUCGGAUCGUAAAACUCUGUUAUUAGGGAAGAACAAAUGUGUAAGUAACUAUGCACGUCUUGACGGUACCUAAUCAGAAAGCCACGGCUAACUACGUG